GCGGGGAUAGCUCAGCUGGGAGAGCGUCAGACUGAAGUCAACUUCAUUCAUCAAUCUGAAGGCCGUGUGUUCGAUCCACACUCACCGCA
rnacentral:tRNA from 1 species